UACGAAGGGGGCUAGCGUUGUUCGGAAUUACUGGGCGUAAAGCGCGCGCAGGUGGUCUUUCAAGUCAGUGGUGAAAGCCCGGAGCUCAACUCCGGAAAUGCCAUUGAAACUGUGAGACUUGAGGAUGAGAGAGGUGAGUGGAAUUCCCAGUGUAGAGGUGAAAUGCGCAGAUAUCAGGAGGAACACCCGUAGCGAAGGCGGCACUCUGGGCCGAUUCUGACACUGAGGAGCGAAAGCGUGGGGAGCGAACAGG
rnacentral:rRNA from 1 species